UACAGAGACCUCGAGCGUUAUCCGGAUUUAUUGGGCGUAAAGGGUCCGUAGGCGGUUUGGUACGUUCAUAGUGAAAGCCCUCGGCUCAACCGAGGAAUUGCUGUGAAUACGGCCAGACUAGAGGGUACGAGGGGCUGAUGGAACUCACGGUGGAGGGGUGAAAUCCGUUGAGAUCGUGGGGAACACCAAAGGCGAAGGCAUUCAGCUAGCGUAACCCUGACGCUGAGGGACGAAAGCAUGGGGCGCGAAUGGGAUUAGAUACCCUUGUAGU
rnacentral:rRNA from 1 species